rnacentral:rRNA from 1 species
UGCCAGACUCCUACGGGAGGCAGCAGUGGGGGAUAUUGCACAAUGGGGGAAACCCUGAUGCAGCGACGCCGCGUGAGCGAUGAAGUAUUUCGGUAUGUAAAGCUCUAUCAGCAGGGAAGAAAAUGACGGUACCUGACCAAGAAGCCCCGGCUAACUACGUGCCAGCAGCCGCGGUAAUACGUAGGGGGCAAGCGUUAUCCGGAUUUACUGGGUGUAAAGGGGGCGCAGACGGCAAUGCAAGCCAGGAGUGAAAGCCCGGGGCCCAACCCCGGGACUGCUCUUGGAACUGCAUGGCUGGAGUACAGGAGGGGCAGGCGGAAUUCCUAGUGUAGCGGUGAAAUGCGUAGAUAUUAGGAGGAACACCAGUGGCGAAGGCGGCUUACUGGACUGUAACUGACGUUGAGGCUCGAAAGCGUGGGGAGCAAACAGGAUUAGAUACCCUAGUAGAA